GACAAGCCUCUCAACCAGGCUAUCAGGAAUGAUUCUCUGUUGGGUCCCCAACUGAUGACUAUAGAAUAACAAGAUCAUUUUGAUAGGUUAUAAAUCCAAACUGAUCUCAUUUUCAUUUUCAGACUCACACCUCAUAAAUGUGUCCUUCUUGACUGGUUGAACGUGCCAAUUUGGAGAGCAAGGUUGUCACCGUGGCAGUAGAUCUUCUUUCUAAUCAUAAAUACCAAGUGCAUUUAGCACCAUGCAGAACUCCAGAAGAGAAUGUCAAUGGAUUCCCUUUGCUGUAUCCUUAACAUGAAUUUCUGCACACACACACACACACACACACACACACACACACACGAACACUCCAAAUUUCCACAGAUGUGAAGUUAGGCAAAAAUGGAGGCCCAGGUCAGCCUGAGGGGAGGGUGUGGUCACGUGGGGAGGAUCUAGAAUGCCUGCCUUUGGUGUUGCUAGCAGAUUUACAGGAGUCUUAUUUGUUCUUUCUUUUUUUCUGAAGCACCAGGUGGCAAAGCCAAUUUCUUUCUCUUGAGGGCUGUCUUGUGAGUAACUGCCCAUCUGCCAGCAACAAAAAGGAGGAGGCCUCAGGCCGUGCUCCACACUCACCUCCUCAUGCUGCCCCAACAAAGACAGUUCAUCCCUGGCCUGCAACAGGUCCCUCUUGAGAUUGGUGUGAACUCCUCAGGCUGAUCAGAACAUAUUUCAGCUGAUGUUGGAUUUGCUAUGAUUGUAUCACACUGACUAAAGUGUCUGGUAGACGUAGACUGCGCAAGAAGAAAAUAGACUUAGAGAUCACAACGGCUUAAGAAUAAAGAAAUGACGAGAUUGCUGGGUCUAAUGGUAGUUCAGCUUUUAGCUCUCUGAGAACCUCCAUACUGCUUUCCACAAUGGUCGAAUUAUUUACACUCCCACAAACAGUAUAUACUCAGAUGAAUAUAAAUCAUUUUACCAUAAAGACACAUGCAUGCUAAUGUCCAUUGCAGCACCAUUCACAAUGAUAAGACAUGGAAUCAACCUAAAUGCCCAUCAAUGACAAAUUAGAUAAAGAAAAUGUGGUACAUAUACACCAUGGAAUACUAUGCAGCCACAAAAAAGAACAAGAUCAUGUCUUCUGUGGAAACUUGGAUGGAGCUGGAGGCCAUUAUCCUUAGCAAACUAAUGCAGAAACAGAAAACCAAAUACCACAUGUUCUCACUUAUAAGUGGGAGCAAAAUGAUAAGAACUUAUGAACACAAAGAAGGAAACGAGACACUGGGGACUACUUGAGGGUGGUGGGUGGGAGGAGGGAGAGGAGCAGAAAAGAUAACUAUAUUGUAUACUGGGCUUAAUACCCGGGUGAUGAAAUAAUAUGUAAAACAAACCCCCAUGGCACGUGUUUACCUAUGUAACAAACUUUCACGUGUAGCUCCAAACCUAAAAUAAAAGUUAUAAAACAGAAA
rnacentral:lncRNA from 1 species